rnacentral:rRNA from 1 species
ACGUCAAAUCAUCAUGCCCCUUAUGAUUUGGGCUACACACGUGCUACAAUGGACAAUACAAAGGGCAGCGAAACCGCGAGGUCAAGCAAAUCCCAUAAAGUUGUUCUCAGUUCGGAUUGUAGUCUGCAACUCGACUACAUGAAGCUGGAAUCGCUAGUAAUCGUAGAUCAGCAUGCUACGGUGAAUACGUUCCCGGGUCUUGUACACACCGCCCGUCACACCACGAGAGUUUGUAACACCCGAAGCCGGUGGAGUAACCUUUUAGGAGCUAGCCGUCGAAGGUGGGACAAAUGAUUGGGGUGAAGUCGUAACAAGGUAGCCGUAUCGGAAGGUGCGGCUG